CGCGUAGGGGGCGAGCGUUGUCCGGAAUCAUUGGGCGUAAAGAGCUCGUAGGCGGCUCGGUAAGUCGGGUGUGAAACCCCCAGGCUCAACCUGGGGACGCCACCCGAUACUGCUGUGGCUAGAGUCCAGUAGGGGAGUGUGGAAUUCCCGGUGUAGCGGUGAAAUGCGCAGAUAUCGGGAGGAACACCAGCGGCGAAGGCGGCAUUCUGGGCUGGAACUGACGCUGAGGAGCGAAAGCGUGGGUAGCAAACAGG
rnacentral:rRNA from 1 species